rnacentral:lncRNA from 1 species
AUAUCAGCUCAUCGCAGAAGAAAGAAAGUGAGGAAAAGCAUCAAGUUUCUGAAUGUGUAGGCCUGCAGAAGAGGCAACAAAUGAAGAUGUUACAAGUUGGGAAGCUAAUUAGGGAUUAUCCAUCCAAGAAGCUGAAAAUCCAUGAAAGAGGAGCUUUGGGGUUCAGAGGCCAAGAAGAUGCUGGAAACAAAGGGGGUGCUUCUUGGAAGGAUUUUCUAAAAACAGGGUUCAAUUUGGGACCAAAAGAAGUUGAUACGGACAAGAAGAGUAGUGAUGAUAGAAUUAUACCUGGGGGACAACUUGAUGAUCAGAUUGCAAAGAAUACAAAGAAGACCCCAAAGUUCGUAAGCUAUAUGGAUGUUUCUGAUAAUAAGCGAUUUCUGAAGACAUUAUUACCGAGGACAUAUAAACACGGCGCUCGCAAUAAAGCCUUUCCGACUUACCAAGCCUUGACCAUGGGGAAUAAGCAUGCAUCAUCUUCACAUACCGCAGCUUCUGAGGAAGAAGGCCUAGCCGUUGGCACUUCCAAGCAUGCCAAACAAGUGGUUCAAAAAGCCCACAAGUGCCGGACCUGCAACAAGAGCUUCCCCACGGGUCAGGCUCUUGGGGGCCACCAGACAUCUCAUCGGCAGAAGCCAGCCCAAUUAGCCACACCCAGACAAGAAGCAUUAAUAUUGUCUGAUGAAGAAGCCAGCCAGAGUGCAGGCCCAAGAGUUUUGGAUUUCGAUCUCAAUGAGCUUCCCCCGAUGGAAGAAGAAUGAAGGUGGUGCAGUGCAGUUGUAAUUGUGCAUCUUUUUUCCUACAAUUCAAUAAGUUACAGUUGCUGGGUAAAGGCCUAUAGAUAUUGUAUAUAUUCUUAUAUUUUCCAUAUGGGAACCAUACAGUUCUAAGCUUUCUCAGGUGGAACAGCUGAAAGUUAUUUCUUUCCUGUUGGAUUCAGCCCUAAAAUUGAUAGAAUUCGUUUGGAAUAUUGUUAGGGCUUUUGUACGCAUGCAUUAUCUCCAGAAACAAUCAAUAAGAAUAAGAACAAGAACUGGAGGCUGGUUUAGUUUCAUGACACCAAAACUUACUUGAAUAUUGUUACUGAUCAGCUCCAUUGUUUGCUCCAUACCAUACAUACAUACAUCAUACCAUAAUUGGAUGAAUUGUUUUUACAAAUAAGUUUUCUAUUCUGAUUUGUAAAAUCACUGUAAAUUUAAUUUAUACAAUAUUAAUUACAUUUAAUUCAAAUAUUAUUAAAAAUGAAAUUAGUUUUGUAAUUAUAAAUAAAUUUAAAAAAUACAUAGUUUUUAGUAAAAAUGAAUGGUAAUGUUCUAAUAAAAAAAAUAUAUAUUUUUUAUAUUAAAAAAAUAUAAUAUUUUAAUAUAUUUUUAAAAAAUAUGGAUAUUAAUAUCUUUAAAAGCACAACUGAUUUCCUUUUUAUUAAAAACAAAUUAUAAUAAUAAUUGUUAGUAAAAUUUAACUUUUUUAAUAUGUAAACAAGUCAAAUUUUUCAUUACUUGUACAUAUUUAAUAAUUAAUUACCAAGUAUUUUAGAAUGUCUUGAUUUAAUAUGUAAUUAAUUGGACCAAUUUUUUGAAUUCUAAAUUAUUCUUAAAAUUUAAAAGAUUCAUUAAAAAUAUUAAAUUAUUAAUUAUAUUUCACUUAAUUUAGAAUUUAUUGACCCAGUAAGAAAAUUUAAAAAAUUUAAUUGUGCAUAUGACAAAAACAAUAAGGUUAGGAAUCAUAAUAUAUUAAUUUUUCUAUAUUAUAUUUUGUAUUGAUUACAUACAUCUAUGUUUUGAGUUACAACUUAUUUUUAAAAAAAAAAAUUGAAACCCAUUAAUAAAUUCAAUACAAAGUAUUUGUUUAGUUUGAAAUUCAUUUAUCUAAAGAAAAAAUUUACAAAAUAUAUAAUUAUAUGCUCAAAAAAAAUAAUAGAGUCCUUAUAAAUCAAUUUUUAUUCAUAAAUUUGUAGUAUUGAUAGUUGUUUAUUUUGUUUUUAAAUUAUUAGACUCGGUUUUAUCAAAGAUUCGAUGGGAGGUGGCAAAUGCUGAUGAUGGAAAAGUAGAAGAGGAAUAGCGGAGGCAAGAGCGUUUUGCAACACCAGCAGCAAAGAGUUUCGAGGGGUCAGAUGAGAUCUCACCUUGAUUAUCAGGGCAACAGAAACAUUGGUUCCAACAAGAAGCAGGUCUUGACAACAACAUAAAGGAGGAAUCAGGUAGCAAGCACACUACUGACAGAAGCAAAAACAGAAACAAGCUCGAUCAAGAAAUAGAAAGCGAGUCGCUUCUUGUGGCACCCAGGGAGUCUAAGUGCAGCACUUGCCAUAAGGUCUUCCCAACUCUCCAAGCCUUAGGUGGACACAGGUCCAGCCAUAGUUAUAAGAACAACCUCCAAGCCAUGGAUUCAGCCCUAGAACUGAUAGAAUUGGAUUGGAAUGUAAUGGCUUUUGUACACAUGCAUUGUCUCCUAAAACAAUCAACAAGAAUAAGAACAAGCACUGUGGGGUGGUUUUGU